rnacentral:rRNA from 1 species
GACAGAGGGUGCAAACGUUGCUCGGAAUCACUGGGCGUAAAGGGCGUGUAGGCGGGAAGGCUAGUCAGAUGUGAAAGCCCUGGGCUCAACCCAGGAAGUGCACUCGAAACUCCCGAGCUGGAGUCCCGGAGAGGAAGGCGGAAUUCUCGGUGUAGAGGUGAAAUUCGUAGAUAUCGAGAGGAACAUCGGUGGCGAAGGCGGCCUUCUGGACGGUGACUGACGCUGAGGCGCGAAAGCGUGGGGAGCAAACAGG